UUCAAUUGCAGCGGAAUAGCGGAUGUUUAAAUAUUUUGGUUGCGUCACUAAACUUUUCAAGAAGCAGUGCGCGCCGUCCGCGUUUGUGAAUAGAGACGGAACAGAACCGAGCAUGAACGAGAGAGAGCUGGGCGACAAGGAGACCGUACAAAACAAGGAAUCUUUCACUUCAUUCGGAGAGAGGGAACUGAUGAGUCAGAGGGGAGGAUAGAUGAGUGACAGACACUACUAGUGGGUUCCAGACACACAAAUCCAAAUCAAGAAGGCUCCUGAUCCACUGCAGAGCCCAGGUCUCAGUACCACCAUAGAAGUUAUCGCAGUAUGAACCGAGCUUUCAACAGGAGAAAAGGUAACAGCUCACUGUAUUCAUUGAGUGCAUUUGAAAUAACACCAUUUUCUUAUACUCAAACAGUACAGUUUUUUUGAAAGCAUGUUGACCUCAAGUACUUACCCA
rnacentral:lncRNA from 1 species